rnacentral:siRNA from 1 species
AAUCAAGUGUUGUGUGGUUUGGUU